GAGUUUGAUCCUGGCUCAGGACGAACGCUGGCGGCGUGCUUAAGACAUGCAAGUCGAACGGGCCGAGGCUCUUCGGGGCCUUGGUUAGUGGCGGACGGGUGAGUAACACGUGAGCAACCUGCCCUUGGGGCCGGGAUAACACCUCGAAAGGGGUGCUAAUACCGGAUAAGGUCCCUCUUUCACAUGGGAGGGGGAGGAAAGGUGGCGGACUCCAUUGGAGUUCGGCGCCGCCGGAGGAGGGGCUCGCGGCCCAUUAGCUAGUUGGUGUGGUAACGGCGCACCAAGGCGACGAUGGGUAGCCGGCCUGAGAGGGUGAACGGCCACACUGGGACUGAGACACGGCCCAGACUCCUACGGGAGGCAGCAGUCGGGAAUCUUCGACAAUGGGCGAAAGCCUGAUCGAGCAACGCCGCGUGGGUGAGGACGGCCUUCGGGUUGUAAAACCCUGUCCCGGGGGACGAAAAAAAUGACGGUACCCCGGGAGGAAGCCCCGGCUAACUACGUGCCAGCAGCCGCGGUAAU
rnacentral:rRNA from 1 species